AUGCUUAUUGAUAUUGCAAUUGAAUAUGUAAAAGGCUUGCUUUCCUUUUUCAAUAAGUAUAGAGAAAAUGACUUUCCAAAAGCAUUGGAAGUUGCAAAAAAAUGCAUUGGAAUGGAUAUUCAUCAAGAGUUCCGCACCAAGUGUAAAAUCAAAAAGAAAAGGCAAUUUGAUGAGGGUGAAGAUGAUGCAUCUAUUGAUCCACAAUCUGCAGAGGAGUCAUUUAGGGUCAAUUAUUUUAUACGUGUUGUUGACCAAGCUAUAACUUCACUUACCAUUAGAUUUGAACAAUAUGAGGGGUAUCAAAAGAUAUUUGGUUUCUUAUUUACUUCAGAUAGGCUGCGAUCACCAGAUGACAAGAGUUUGAUGGCUGCUUGUAUUAAUCUUGAAGAUGCAGUUAAGAGUGGAGAACAUACAGAUAUUGAUGGACUUGAAUUGCGUUGCGAACUAAUUUUCAUCCAUGAUUUACUUCAUAAUCAAUGGGCCCUCUUGACAUUCUGA
rnacentral:rRNA from 1 species